GACGAACGCUGGCGGCAGGCUUAACACAUGCAAGUCGAACGCCCCUUCGGGGGAGUGGCAGACGGGUGAGUAACGCGUGGGAAUCUACCCAGUACUACGGAACAACACAGAGAAAUUUGUGCUAAUACCGUAUACGCCCUAAGGGGGAAAGAUUUAUCGGUAUUGGAUGAGCCCGCGUUUGAUUAGCUAGUUGGUGAGGUAACGGCUCACCAAGGCGACGAUCAAUAGCUGGUCUGAGAGGAUGAUCAGCCACACUGGGACUGAGACACGGCCCAGACUCCUACGGGAGGCAGCAGUGGGGAAUAUUGGACAAUGGGCGCAAGCCUGAUCCAGCCAUGCCGCGUGUGUGAUGAAGGCCCUAGGGUUGUAAAGCACUUUCAACGGUGAAGAUAAUGACGGUAACCGUAGAAGAAGCUCCGGCUAACUUCGUGCCAGCCGCCGCGGUAAU
rnacentral:rRNA from 1 species